UAUGGAAGCCUAUGAGGGCGCCAACCGAAAGGAGCGUGUUCUAUUCUUGGAAUAGUAUAGCACCUCUAAGGGCUUCCGCAUA
rfam:Weeksella virosa DSM 16922, complete genome.